UUGAACUGAAGAGUUUGAUCAUGGCUCAGAUUGAACGCUGGCGGCAGGCCUAACACAUGCAAGUCGAGCGGUAGAGAGAAGCUUGCUUCUCUUGAGAGCGGCGGACGGGUGAGUAAUGCCUAGGAAUCUGCCUGGUAGUGGGGGAUAACGUUCGGAAACGGACGCUAAUACCGCAUACGUCCUACG
rnacentral:rRNA from 1 species